AAGCCUUGAAGUGUUUUCUCUGGUGAAUUACAUCUUAGAAUUACACUUUCUAUUUCUGGGAACUCCACAUUCUCACCUACUGCCUUGUUCAACAUUCGCUGCCUCUGGCUGCAGAAACUGAUUAGGAAGCUAGGCCAAUUGGAGAUUUGAAAUAAUACUUUAUUGACUUUUUUUUUUUUUAUGAAGGAGACAUAGCCAGCAGAGAAAUGUGUAGUAGCACUCUCUACUUGAAUGUAGUUAGGGUCAUACCUUGUUUUCUUUGUUUCGUAGAAACAAACCAAGAAUACACCUUGCUUCCUUUUCAAUUACACGCAGAUAAAAUAUAUUGGAUGUUACUCAUUUUAAAGGCCUGAGGGAAGAGGAACAACACUAAAUUGUAUUCACUUUGCCCUUUUUGGAUAUCCCUUAAGUGUCAUCAAAAAGAAUUCUCCAGGACAAGUUCCAUGAGAGAUGAGGACACUGAGGCCACAGAAAUUAAGUGCCUCAUUCAAGGCAAAUAUGAAAUUUUAACUAAGAAUUGCUAUGCUUUUACUGUCUUGAUGCCACUUUAGGAAAUGGAUGAAUUCUCUGAAAUUUCCAUUCAAAUUAAAUCAUGUUUUACUAAACAUAACUAUGAUUCUACUAUAAAUAAUUCUACACCAGAAACUUCUUUUAUAGAACAAGCGCCAUCCUUACCAGUGUUACCCAUCCCCUUUUCCAUUUAUCCUUUCUUUUUAAAUUUGAGAAAGAGAUAAGUGAUCCUUUUCUUCCUAUCAUACGCAUGUACUUCAUAAAAUCAUGGGAAAGUAGAAUUAAAAGGCGACUUUUAUUUUGCUGUAAAAUAGUAUGCAUUCCCAUGAACUUUUUUUUUUUUUUCCAGGCAGAGUGGACAGAGAGAGAGACAGAGAGAAAGGUCUUCCUUUGCCGUUGGUUCACCCUCCAAUGGCCGCCGCAGCCGGCGCACCGCGCUGAUCUGAUGGCAGGAGCCAGGAGCCAGGUGCUUUUCCUGGUCUCCCAUGGGGUGCAGGGCCCAAGCACCUGGGCCAUCCUCCACUGCACUCCCUGGCCACAGCAGAGAGCUGGCCUGGAAGAGGGGCAACCGGGACAGAAUCCGGCGCCCCAACCGGGACUAGAACCCGGUUAGCCGGCGCCGUGGCUCAAUAGGCUAAUCCUCCACCUUGCGGCGCCGGCACACCGGGUUCUAGUCCCGGUUGGGGCGCCGGAUUCUGUCCCGGUUGCCCCUCUUCCAGGCCAGCUCUCUGCUAUGGCCAGGGAGUGCAGUGGAGGAUGGCCCAGGUGCUUGGGCCCUGCACCCCAUGGGAGACCAGGAGAAGCACCUGGCUCUUGGCUUCAGAUCAGCGCAGUGCGCCGGCUGCCACGUGCCAGCCGCAGCGGCCAUUGGAGGGUGAACCAACAGCAAAGGAAGACCUUUCUCUCUGUCUCUCUCUCUCACUGUCCAC